UACGGAAGGCAGCAGUGGGGAAUAUUGCACAAUGGGCGCAAGCCUGAUGCAGCCAUGCCGCGUGUAUGAAGAAGGGCCUUCGGGUUGUAAAGUACUUUCAGUCGUGAGGAAGGUGUUAAGGUUAAUAACCUUAGCAAUUGACGUUAGCGACAGAAGAAGCACCGGCUAACUCCGUGCCAGCAGCCGCGGUAAUACGGAGGGUGCGAGCGUUAAUCGGAAUUACUGGGCUAAAGGGCACGCAGGCGGUUAAUUAAGUUGGAUGUGAAAUCCCCGGGCUUAACCUGGGAAUGGCAUUCAAGACUGGUUAGCUAGAGUCUUGUAGAGGGGGUAGAAUUCCAUGUGUAGCGGUGAAAUGCGUAGAGAUGUGGAGGAAUACCGGUGGCGAAGGCGGCCCCUGGGACAAAGGACUGACGCUCAUGUGCGAAAGCGUGGGGAGCAAACAGGAUUAGAUACC
rnacentral:rRNA from 1 species